UAGUCCACGCCGUAAACGAUGGUCACUAGCUGUUUGGACUUCGGUCUGAGUGGCUAAGCGAAAGUGAUAAGUGACCCACCUGGGGAGUACGUUCGCAAGAAUGAAACUCAAAGGAAUUGACGGGGGCCCGCACAAGCGGUGGAGCAUGUGGUUUAAUUCGAUGAUACGCGAGGAACCUUACCAGGGCUUAAAUGUAGUCUGACAGGACCAGAGAUGGUUUUUUCUUCGGACAGAUUACAAGGUACUGCAUGGUUGUCGUCAGCUCGUGCCGUGAGGUGUCAGGUUAAGUCCUAUAACGAGCGCAACCCCUGUUGUUAGUUGCCAGCGAGUCAUGUCGGGAACUCUAGCAAGACUGCCGGUGCAAACCGCGAGGAAGGUGGGGAUGACGUCAAAUCAUCACGGCCCUUACGUCCUGGGGCCACACACGUGCUACAAUGGCCGGUACAGAGAGCAGCCACUGGGGUGACCAGGGAGCGAAUCUAUAAAGCCGGGUCACAGUUCGGGAUC
rnacentral:rRNA from 1 species